CAGUAGCCGCGGGAAUACGAAGGGUGCAAGCGUUAAUCGGAAUUACUGGGCGUAAAGCGUGCGUAGGCGGUGAGUUAAGUCUGCUGUGAAAUCCCCGGGCUCAACCUGGGAAUGGCAGUGGAUACUGGCUCGCUAGAGUGUGUCAGAGGAUGGUGGAAUUCCCGGUGUAGCGGUGAAAUGCGUAGAUAUAUGGAGGAACGCCGGUGGCGAAAGCGGCUCUCUGGCUUGUAACUGACGCUGAGGCUCGAAAGCGUGGGGAGCAAACAGGAUUAGAUACCCCAGUAGUCCCUGUCUCUUAUAC
rnacentral:rRNA from 1 species